UUGAAACACCGGUUCCCGUAUGAUCACCGAAGUUAAGCAAUGUCGAGCCUGGUCAAUAACUCGAUGCGUGACGGAUUGGAAAUACAAGGUGCUGUAAG